rnacentral:rRNA from 3 species
AAAACAUAGCCUAUAACUUAACUUUAGGUACAACCCUGCCCUCUGAAAUUUUAACAGCCGCGGUAUCCUAACCGUGCUAAGGUAGCAUAAUCAUUUGCCUAUUAAUUAUAGGCUAGCAUGAACGGGAUCACUCACUUAAAUUUAUUUUCACUACAAUUAAAAUUAAACUUUAAGUUAAAAUACUAAAUUUUUAAGAAAGACAAAAAGACCCUGAAAACUAUUAGAAGAUAAUUAGUUGGGGCAACUAUAGACCAUAAACAGCGUCUAUUAAAAUUCGAAUUUUAAAAUUCAAAGCACACAGUUACUUCAGGGAUAACAGACUAAUUGUAUUAUUUAGACCUAAUAAAUAAUAAAGAUUGGCACCUCGAUGUUGGCUUAUAAUUCCUUCAUAUAGUAACAUAUAUUGAUGGCAGCUUGUUCAUCUGAUAAAUAUUUACGUGACU